CAAAGCAUUGCGAUGGUCCCU
rnacentral:snRNA from 1 species